rfam:Schistosoma haematobium scaffold1199_14, whole genome shotgun sequence.
AUCCAGUUGACGAGUCCCAAAUAAAACGAAACGCGCGUCCUGGAU